CACUCCAGUGAGAAUGCCCUCUAAAUCUUAAAGAUCAAAAGGAGCAGGUAUCAAGCACACCCUAGCGGUAGCUCACAACGCCUUGCUCAACCACACCCCCACGGGAUACAGCAGUAAUAGAAAUUAAGCUAUGAACGAAAGUUUGACUAAGUUAUAUUAAACAGAGUUGGUAAAUAUCGUGCCAGCCACCGCGGUCAUACGAUUAACCCAAAUAAAUAGAACUACGGCGUAAAGAGUGUCCAAGGAAGCCCNNNNAAUAGAGCUAAAUUUCAACUAAGCCGUAAAAAGCCAUAGCUGAAAAAUAAAUAAACUACGAAAGUGGCUCUAGCACCCCCAAUACACGAUAGCUAGGACUCAAACUGGGAUUAGAUACCCCACUAUGCCUAGCCCUAAACUCAAAUAAUUAACCAACAAAAUUAUUCGCCAGGGUACUACUAGCAACAGCUUAAAACCCAAAGGACUUGGCGGUGCUUCAUAUCCAUCUAGAGGAGCCUGUUCUAUAAUCGAUAAACCCCGAUAAACCUCACCAACCCUUGCCAAAUCAGUCUAUAUACCACCAUCUUCAGCAAACCCUAAAAAGGAACAACAGUAAGCACAACUAUGAUACAUAAAAACGUUAGGUCAAGGUGUAACCCAUGGGUUGGGAAGAAAUGGGCUACAUUUUCUACACAAGAAUAUCCACGAAAAUUCUUAUGAAAUUAAGAAUUGAAGGAGGAUUUAGCAGUAAAUUAAGAAUAGAGUGCUUAAUUGAAUAAGGCCAUGAAGCACGCACACACCGCCCGUCACCCUCCUCAAGUGCACAAAACAUACAAAACCUAUUGCAAACAUAACUACACAAGAGGAGAUAAGUCGUAACAAGGUAAGCAUACUGGAAAGUGUGCUUGGACAAC
rnacentral:ncRNA from 1 species